UACGUAGGGUGCGAGCGUUGUCCGGAAUUAUUGGGCGUAAAGAGCUUGUAGGCGGUCUGUUGCGUCGGAAGUGAAAACUCAGGGCUUAACCCUGAGCCUGCUUUCGAUACGGGCAGACUUGAGGGAUGUAGGGGAGAACGGAAUUCCUGGUGGAGCGGUGGAAUGCGCAGAUAUCAGGAGGAACACCAGUGGCGAAGGCGGUUCUCUGGACAUUUCCUGACGCUGAGAAGCGAAAGCGUGGGGAGCAAACAGGCUUAGAUACCCUGGUAGUCCACGCCGUAAACGGUGGGCACUAGGUGUGGGGACCUUCCACGGUCUCCGUGCCGCAGCUAACGCAUUAAGUGCCCCGCCUGGGGAGUACGGCCGCAAGGCUAAA
rnacentral:rRNA from 1 species